AGAAGUUAUAUCAUUAAAAGAGAAUACACACAUAGAUAAACAAACAAGCAAAGAAAAUCACCAUGGUCUCAUUUGGAAGGCAAAGUAACCAUGCUGGCAAAUAGCAAGUAGAAAUGAUAGUGAACAAGCGACAAAACCAUACCGCACCAAAUGUGUUUGUUCUAGGACGAAGAUGAGCUUUAGUUCUCAAAAAUUCUCGGCUGACCCUUUUCUUUUGAAUGGGAUAGGAAGGAUCACUUUUUCCAACC